rnacentral:tRNA from 1 species
CGGGAAGUAGCUCAGCUUGGUAGAGCACAUGGUUUGGGACCAUGGGGUCGCAGGUUCGAAUCCUGUCUUCC